UGGGGAAUUUUGGACAAUGGGGGCAACCCUGAUCCAGCCAUCCGCGUGUGCGAUGAAGGCCUUCGGGUUGUAAAGCACUUUUGGCAGGGAAGAAACAGCCUGGGAUAAUACCCCGGGCGACUGACGGUACCUGCAGAAUAAGCACCGGCUAACUACGUGCCAGCAGCCGCGGUAAUACGUAGGGUGCAAGCGUUAAUCGGAAUUACUGGGCGUAAAGCGUGCGCAGGCGGUUCGGAAAGAAAGGUGUGAAAUCCAGGCUUAACCUUGGAACUGCACUUUAACUACCGAGCUAGAGUACGUCAGAGGGGGGUAGAAUUCCACGUGUAGCAGUGAAAUGCGUAGAGAUGUGGAGGAAUACCGAUGGCGAAGGCAGCCCCCUGGGAUGAUACUGACGCUCAUGCACGAAAGCGU
rnacentral:rRNA from 1 species